UACGGAGGGUCCAAGCGUUAUCCGGAUUUAUUGGGUUUAAAGGGUCCGCAGGCGGGAAAAUAAGUCAGUGGUGAAAGCCUACAGCUUAACUGUAGAACUGCCAUUGAUACUGUUUUUCUUUGAGUAUAAUUGAAGUGGGCGGAAUGUGUCAUGUAGCGGUGAAAUGCAUAGAUAUCAGGUAGAACACCAGUGGCGAAGGCGGUCUUCUGGACAGUGACUGACGCUGAGACGCGAAA
rnacentral:rRNA from 1 species